rnacentral:rRNA from 1 species
UACGAACUGUGCGAGCGUUAUUCGGAAUUACUGGGCUUACAGGGUGCGUAGGCGGCCCAUCAAGUCAGGUGUGAAAGCCCUCGGCUCAACCGAGGAACUGCGCUUGAAACUGUUAGGCUCGAGUCAGCUAGAGGUACACGGAACUUCCAGUGGAGCGGUGAAAUGUGUUGAUAUUGGAAGGAACACCGGAGGCGAAAGCGGUGUACUGGGGCUGGUCUGACGCUGAGGCACGAAAGCCAGGGGAGCGAACGGG